CACGGCACAUUCGUUCACGUACUGCACGUUCUCAUAACAAUAAUAUGAUGACGUCAUCACCUUAUUAUGACGUCAUCACCUUAUUAAGACGUCAUCAACACCUGUCGAAUUCAAGUAAUGGCCGAUACAGAUGAACGGCACACGAACACUUCAUCACAGGAUAUGACCGACACCUAGGGUUGGAACUAGAACAUGUUGGCCACAAUCUUCAUGUGAACAGAUAAUGCCACACUUUUUAAUCAUCCUAUUGGGCUUCAGUUUGAUCACAGCGCAAACACGAGGGUUGGUCCAGUGUUUUAACUGCACAACGACAGAAGACGUGGGAUGUAAAGACCCCUUCGACACCGAGGGGCGGAUGUCCUACACGUGUCGCCAGGGACAGGCGUGCUUCAAGGUUACCACAGGAGCUCAAGUGACCAGAGGUUGCAUGGCCCACUCCGUGGGGCGCAAUCCCGCCAGGCAGCUGAGCGAGGAGGGGGCCACCUGCUACACCGACAUCAUCAGCCCUACAUUCCAGGAGAGGACUAUCUGCACGUGCGGUGACGACCUCUGCAACACCGCUGUAAACGUAGUCUUCCCUAACGCAGCUGCAGCUGUAGCCGUUGUAACUUCGCUGGUCGUCCCACUUGUCAUCCUCUAACAGUUCAUCUGCAGUGUGUACUGGGACGCAGUGACGGCAGUGUCUGACUGUGUGGGUGGCCAUCUUCUACAACAUCACCUACAGUGUGUCCUGGGGCAGCAGUGACGGCAGUAGUGAUGGCAGUGUCUGACUGUGUGUGUGGCCAUCUUCCACAACAUCACCUACAGUGUGUCCUGGGGCAGCAGUGACGGCAGUGUCCGACUGUGUGUGUGGCCAUCUUCUACAACAUCACCUACAGUGUGUCCUGGGGAAGCAGUGACGGCAGUGUCUGUCUGUGUAGGUGGCCAUCUUCUACAACAUCACCUACAGUGUGUCCUGGGGCAGCAAUGACGGCAGUGUCUGUCUGUGCGGGUGGCCAUCUUCUACAACAUCCCCUACAGUGUGUCCUGGGGCAGCAGUGACGGCAGUGUCUGACUGUUUGGGUGGCCAUCUUCUACAACAUCACCUACAGUGUGUCCUGGGGAAGCAGUGACGUCAGUGUCUGUCUGUGUAGGUGGCCAUCUUCUACAACAUCCUCUACAGUGAGUCCUGGGGCAGCAGUGACGGCAGUGUCUGACUGUGUGGGUGGCCAUCUUCUACAACAUCCCCUACAGUGUGUCCUGGGGCAGCAGUGACGGCAGUGUCUGACUGUUUGGGUGGCCAUCUUCUACAACAUCCCCUACAGUGUGUCCUGGGGAAGCAAUGACGGCAGUGUCUGUCUGUGUAGGUGGCCAUCUUCUACAACAUCACCUACAGUGUGUCCUGGGGCAGCAAUGACGGCAGUGUCUGACUGUUUGGGUGGCCAUCUUCUACAACAUCACCUACAGUGUGUCCUGGGGCAGCAAUGACGACAGUGUCUGACUGUUUGGGUGGCCAUCUUCUACAACAUCCCCUACAGUGUGUCCUGGGGCAGCAAUGACGACAGUGUCUGACUGUGUGGGUGGCCAUCUUCUACAACAUCACCUACAGUGUGACCUGGGGCAGCAGUGACGGCAGUGUCCGACUGUGUGGGUGGCCAUCUUCUACAACAUCCCCUACAGUGUGUCCUGGGGAAGAAGUGACGGCAGUGUCUGUCUGUGUAGGUGGCCAUCUUCUACAACAUCACCAACAGUGUGUCCUGGGGCAACAAUGACGG
rnacentral:misc_RNA from 1 species